AGAACUGGGGAAGUUGUUCCUAAUGCUGCAUUGUUAAAGUCAGUCUUUCCUUGCAGGUUGCCUUUGGACUGCUUUUGGUGAUACCAUGACUUCAGGCUGUACGCAGGAGCAGCAGUGUGUUCUGUGCAGGGGGCGUUGUACGAGUCGAGUGCGUCUAUUUUAUUUGUAAGCCUUGUCUGAGCCUCGUACCUGAGUCCUAAGGAGGUGACGCCUCUGCUUUGGGGGUACAGAACUCUCACCCCACAGAGCUCAUGCUGUCUCUCCCCUGAGAAGUGACAAUGCAGACCUGGUAACCCAAGCCAAGGCAGGAGAAAUGUGUGUCUCAUCUGAAUAUUUUUCAGACACAAAUUAUUAUUAAAAGGAAGGCUUGAAGGUCCCCAAUACAAGGAGCUGAUAAUAUUUGAGGACCCGGGAAUGAUUGGUGUUUAUGUGCAGACGGGCCAGGUUUUGUCCAGUUUGGGAAAUGCUCCAGAGGUUGCCUGUCUCAGGUUUUGACCUUCUUGUCUGGGAGCCUGGGGUUGGCAUUUGUGCCGGGGCUUUGUGUGUGUCUGUGUGCAGGUUCGCUGACACAUGGGGCCCAGGGCUCCUCCUCCUUCACACAGAGCACAAGUUGUCCCCUGGUGAAGACUACAGAGCUGAAACCCAACCACAGUGACACUGGGACUUUUUUGAUGAGGAGGGUAAGAAAAGAUUAAAGUACAAACUCAUAAAAGGAGAAUGCUGAGCAUUUCACCCUGGGUGAAUUCUCCAUUUGUUGAUAGUAUCUUCAGAAACUUUCUCAAGAGAAGGAGUCAAACUGACCGUGGAGGAUAAAAAUCACCAAAUUAGAGCAUGUGCUCUCGGCUGUGGGGUGCAGGUCCUCCACACCCCUCGGAACAGUGAGAGCAGUGUUGCAGGAGACCCCUUUCACGUCUCCAAGUGAGGCCCUGCUGUGGGUGUUUCUCAGGAGAAAUAAAAUUCUGUGCCUUACUCCUCACUUUCAUCCACGGAUCCCCGAGCCCUUUGGUUUGUUCUUCCUUUUUUCUUCGAUUUUCAAAGACUCUGUGUAUGAUGUAAUUUC